rnacentral:lncRNA from 1 species
ACAAUGAAAAGUCAGCAGUCUGCAACCUGGAAGAGGGUCCUCACCAGAACCUGACCAGGCUGGCACACCCAUCUCAGACUUCCAGCCUCCAGAGUUUUCAAAUUUAGGCUGGUCUGCGAUUUGCUUUGGCUGACAGAAUAUGAUGAAGUGAUGUUAUAUGGGUUCCUUACUCAGCCUUUAAGUGGACUUGCAGCUACUGCUCUCUACUCCACACUGCUACCACCAUCUGAAGAACCCUACAGUAGGAGACACUUGGCCCAGAUAAUCACAAAGAAAAAGAGUAUGCAGUGAGAAGGACAAGUCUCAUAACCACAUGUUGUUAAUGAAGAAGCUGAGGCACCAAGCGACUUAAGGAUUUGACCAAAAUCAGACAGCAGCAGAUUCAAAGAUAAUGCCAGCUCCUCAUCUUCGUUUCUGGUGCUGUUUACACCGUGAUACUUCAACACUGAAAGAAACACCUAUCAAUUCUCGUACAACUUUAAAGAUGCAUUCUUACUGU